rnacentral:rRNA from 1 species
UGAGGAAUAUUGGUCAAUGGACGGAAGUCUGAACCAGCCAUGCCGCGUGCAGGAUGACGGCCCUAUGGGUUGUAAACUGCUUUUAUUCGGGAAUAAACCUCUUUACGAGUAGAGAGCUGAAGGUACCGAAUGAAUAAGCACCGGCUAACUCCGUGCCAGCAGCCGCGGUAAUACGGAGGGUGCAAGCGUUAUCCGGAAUCAUUGGGUUUAAAGGGUCCGCAGGCGGAUAUAUAAGUCAGUGGUGAAAUCCUGCAGCUUAACUGCAGAACUGCCAUUGAUACUGUAUAUCUUGGAUUGAGUGGGAGUGGGCGGAAUAUGACAUGUAGCGGUGAAAUGCAUAGAUAUUACACAGAACACCGAUUGCGAAGGCAGCUUACUAAACUGUUACUGACGCUGAUGCACGAAAGCGUGGGGAUCGAACA